UACGAAGGGGGAUAGCGUUGUUCGGAAUCACUGGGCGUAAAGCGCACGCAGGCGGAUCGAUAAGUCGGGGGUGAAAGCCCGGGGCUCAACCUCGGAAUUGCCUUCGAUACUGUCGGUCUCGAGUCCGGGAGAGGUGAGUGGAAUUCCUAGUGUAGAGGUGAAAUUCGUAGAUAUUAGGAAGAACACCAGUGGCGAAGGCGGCUCACUGGCCCGGUACUGACGCUCAGGUGCGAAAGAUUGGGGAGCAAACAGG
rnacentral:rRNA from 1 species